rnacentral:rRNA from 1 species
UACAGGGGUCCCGAGCGUUGUUCGGAUUCACUGGGCGUAAAGGGUGCGUAGGUGGCUUGGAAAGUUUGAUGUGAAAGCUCAGGGCUUAACCCUGAAAUGGCAUUGAAUACUGCUGAGCUGGAGGUUUGGAGGGGGGACUGGAAUUCUUGGUGUAGCAGUGAAAUGCGUAGAUAUCAAGAGGAACACCAGUGGCGAAGGCGAGUCCCUGGACAACACCUGACACUGAGGCACGAAAGCUAGGGGAGCAAACAGG